UGUUUGAUCAAAGCAGUCAUGAUCAGAGGCCAAACUACGUAUACUGUUUAGUCUUCCCUGUUGACUUGGGUAGAAACAGCCCUGCUUUCACAUGGGGUUGUGCUGUUGUGUUUCUUGUAUAGCAAUUUGAGGUCAACUGGCAAAGAUUUUGAACGGUCAGCAAGGAGCAAGCCUUUGACACUUCGUCUCUGUUGGAGAAUCAGAGCCUUCCAAGAAGGCCCUUUUCCUGUUUCCACAAUUGGUAAUGUGGCUACUGCCGUUGAAGGUAACUGGAGAAUCUCGGAGCAUCUGCGACGGAGGUGUCGAUGGAAUUGUCACCGGUGGGAUUUCGAAGGAUUCGAGUGGUGGUGGUGGAUGUCUCCACUCGGGCAGAGGUCCAGCCACAAGUAGAGUCUGAAGCAAAGGACCUGCUUUCAUCACUGCUUCCAAGAGCUUGCCUUUCUCAGGCAAUGGCUUCUCUGGAACCAAUUCCACCUGGAUGUGCGGUGGCGGUACAGCUGGAGGAAACUGUGGUGGCGGAAUUGGGUCAAUGGCAGGAGAAGAGACAAUGCUUUCUUCACAAUCCGACAAGGAAAAGCCAUUGAUAGAAUCAAUCCCUUUCUUUGGUUCAUCUUCAAUGCUGGAAAUUCCUGAAUGAGGGUCUGUUCUCUGCUGCUGCUGCUGUAGUAAAAGCUUCUCAAUGAGUAACUUCUGAAACUUUUCGUUAGCUUCAUCUCUCUCUCUAAUGGCUUUGCUGAAAAGAUCCUUGAGAUGAAUCAACUGUUCAUCUCUCUUUCUUAGCUCCUCUUGAACUGCAACUCUCGUUUGUUCCAACUCGAGAGUCGCACAGAAAAGCGAAUGCCUUAAUUCUUCAAUAUUCUGUUUCAAAGCACACACAACCACCUAAGAAAUGACAAUUGGAAACAAACCCAGAAGCCAAAUUCUAGAAAUAGUGAGAAAAGAAGAAGCUUUUUUACCUUUCCUUGGAAAAAGUAAGCCCAACUCAGAAGAGCACUACGUUGGUUUUCCAUAACUGAACUCCACAAAUUUGAGAGAGAAGAAAAAGUAGACGGAGAGAGAGAGAGAGAGAUGUGGUUUCAGACUGGCAGUUGUUGAAGUUCUUAUAAGAAAUGUAUAUAAUGACACUGUUUUCUUUUGACA